UAAGGGCGACCAACUUCUGGG
rnacentral:piRNA from 1 species